AAAAAGCUUUUUUGCAAAUAUUCGUUUUUUUUAUUUUCCUUUUUUAACUUUAAAAAUUCUAUAUUUAGCCUUCUUAAAAUUUUAAAAAUAUUUUCAGAGAGUAUGAUAUUAAUGGAGAGAACAAAAUAACAAAAUUAUCCUUACUUUUUUAUAUAAAAAAUAAUUUUUUAAUACAUUUCUAUUAGUUUAAAGGACAUUAUCAUUACAAAUUAUAAGAAAUGGAUAGAAUAAUAAUGGGACCUUAACGGAAUGAGGCUAAAUGCAACAACUAAAAAUUUUAAGCGGACGAAAUAUAGGUUUCUAAAAGUCAGAGAGAAAAAGUUGAAAAGAGGGUAUUUAUAGGAAUUUUUUUAUAAUUUAGCCAAAAAUAUAUACUUAAGUCUUUUGAAAACUUAUGAUGUUAGCACUGAAUUAGUCUUUUAGAUAAAAAAAA
rnacentral:lncRNA from 1 species